GGGGUUGUGGCUCAGUGGUAGAGUGCUUGCCUCUCACACAUGAGGCCCUGGGGUUCUAUCCUCAGCAACACAU
rnacentral:tRNA from 1 species